AACGUUAAUCGACGCAGGGUUAGUCGGUUCCUAAGGCGAGGCUGAAAAGCGUAGUCGAUGGGAAACAGGUUAAUAUUCCUGUACUUCUGGUUACUGCGAUGGAGGGACGGAGAAGGCUAGGCCAGCUUGGCGUUGGUUGUCCAAGUUUAAGGUGGUAGGCUGAAAUCUUAGGUAAAUCCGGGGUUUCAAGGCCGAGAGCUGAUGACGAGUCGUCUUUUAGAUGACGAAGUGGUUGAUGCCAUGCUUCCAAGAAAGGCUUCUAAGCUUCAGGUAACCAGGAACCGUACCCCAAACCGACACAGGUGGUCGGGUAGAGAAUACCAAGGCGCUUGAGAGAACUCGGGUGAAGGAACUAGGCAAAAUGGCACCGUAACUUCGGGAGAAGGUGCGCCGGCUAGGGUGAAGGAUUUACUCCGUAAGCUCUGGCUGGUCGAAGAUACCAGGCCGCUGCGACUGUUUAUUAAAAACACAGCACUCUGCAAACACGAAAGUGGACGUAUAGGGUGUGACGCCUCCCCGGUGCCGGAAGGUUAAUUGAUGGGGUUAGCGCAAGCGAAGCUCUUGAUCGAAGCCCCGGUAAACGGCGGCCGUAACAAUAACGGUCCUAAGGUAGCGAAAUUCCUUGUCGGGUAAGUUCCGACCUGCACGAAUGGCGUAACGAUGGCGGCGCUGUCUCCACCCGAGACUCAGUGAAAUUGAAAUCGCUGUGAAGAUGCAGUGUAUCCGCGGCUAGACGGAAAGACCCCGUGAACCUUUACUGUAGCUUUGCACUGGACUUUGAGCCUGCUUGUGUAGGAUAGGUGGGAGGCUUUGAAGCGUGGACGCCAGUUCGCGUGGAGCCAUCCUUGAAAUACCACCCUGGCAUGCUUGAGGUUCUAACUCUGGUCCGUAAUCCGGAUCGAGGACAGUGUAUGGUGGGCAGUUUGACUGGGGCGGUCUCCUCCUAAAGAGUAACGGAGGAGUACAAAGGUGCGCUCAGACCGGUCGGAAAUCGGUCGCAGAGUAUAAAGGCAAAAGCGCGCUUGACUGCGAGACAGACACGUCGAGCAGGUACGAAAGUAGGUCUUAGUGAUCCGGUGGUUCUGUAUGGAAGGGCCAUCGCUCAACGGAUAAAAGGUACUCCGGGGAUAACAGGCUGAUACCGCCCAAGAGUUCAUAUCGACGGCGGUGUUUGGCACCUCGAUGUCGGCUCAUCACAUCCUGGGGCUGAAGCCGGUCCCAAGGGUAUGGCUGUUCGCCAUUUAAAGUGGUACGCGAGCUGGGUUUAGAACGUCGUGAGACAGUUCGGCCCCUAUCUGCCGUGGACGUUUGAGAUUUGAGAGGGGCUGCUCCUAGUACGAGAGGACCGGAGUGGACGAACCUCUGGUGUUCCGGUUGUCACGCCAGUGGCAUUGCCGGGUAGCUAUGUUCGGAAAAGAUAACCGCUGAAAGCAUCUAAGCGGGAAACUUGCCUCAAGAUGAGAUCUCACUGGGAACUUGAUUCCCCUGAAGGGCCGUCGAAGACUACGACGUUGAUAGGCUGGGUGUGUAAGCGUUGUGAGGCGUUGAGCUAACCAGUACUAAUUGCCCGUGAGGCUUGAUC
rnacentral:rRNA from 1 species